GCCUGGGUGGCUCAGUCGGUUAAGCGUCCGACUUCAGCUCAGAUCAUUGUCUCACAGUCCGUGGGUUCAAGCCCCAUGUCGGGCU
rnacentral:tRNA from 1 species